ACGUAGGGUGCGAGCGUUAAUCGGAAUUACUGGGCGUAAAGCGUGCGCAGGCGGUUCGCUAAGACAGGUGUGAAAUCCCCGGGCUUAACCUGGGAAUGGCGCUUGUGACUGCAAGGCUAGAGUGCGUCAGAGGGAGGUGGAAUUCCGCGUGUAGCAGUGAAAUGCGUAGAGAUGCGGAGGAACACCGAUGGCGAAGGCAGCCUCCUGGGAUGACACUGACGCUCAUGCACGAAAGCGUGGGGAGCAAACAG
rnacentral:rRNA from 1 species